rnacentral:rRNA from 1 species
AUUGAACGCUGGCGGCAGGCCUAACACAUGCAAGUCGAGCGGAGCGGCGGACGGGUGAGUAAUGCCUAGGAAUCUGACUGGUAGUGGGGGAUAACGUCCGGAAACGGGCGCUAAUACCGCAUACUAUCAGAUGAGCCUAGGUCGGAUUGGCUAGUUGGUGGGGUAAAGGCCUACCAAGGCGACGAUCCGUAACUGGUCUGAGAGGAUGAUCAGUCACACUGGAACUGAGACACGGUCCAGACUCCUACGGGAGGCAGCAGUGGGGAAUAUUGCACAAUGGGCGAAAGCCUGAUCCAGCCAUGCCGCGUGUGUGAAGAAGGCCUUCGGGUUGUAAAGCACUUUCAGCUGGGAGGCGUUACCAGCAGAAGAAGCACCGGCUAACUCCGUGCCAGCAGCCGCGGUAAUAC